AGGUGUCAGUGCAGAUCGGUCCGGAACUUACAGGCUCAACCUGGAUGUGUCAAACCGAUGUUUGUGGACUCAACCAAAGAAAGGCCUUGGAUUUUUGAGACAUCUCCUUUUGUCAAAGACAAUUGGAUCAGAGAUGUUCAGAAUCCGAGCAAGCCAUUUGUCAAGGCAACCAAGUGAGGUGCCCCGUGAUCGUGCAUCAAAGAGACUGCUCUGCCUGCAGUGGGCACAACGGGGGUUACUAACGUUGCACCUCAUCACACCUCUUCAUUCCUGCUGAAUUUCCCCUGCCCGUUUUGUUGUUGUUGAGCUGCGCUUCCCACUGCCUCCGAGUGCUGCCCGUGUGCAAAGCAGCCGCCCCGGGAAG